GAUCCUGGGCUGGCUCUGCCAGCCAUUCUGUUUGUUUUCUUUUUUCGUCCUGGACCACGCCUUCUCCCUCACUAGGACACACCUCAGCUCUGGACCAUCCCCACUCCCUCUCCUUUCCCCUGUAGACAGUAAUCAGUUCAAUUUGCCACACCUGCACUUGCCCUCGGGAUCCCUUCAAAGACUCCUGCAGCACAGCACUCUGUGCUGGGUCAUUUCCAUAUACCACUUCCAUACACCACUGUCAUACGCUGUGAUACGCCACUCUGUCCUUGUUUCACCAUGCCGUUCGUGUCAGGUUGGUCCAUGUAUUAGUUAGUCUCGCUGCCAUGUCAUGUUUGAGUUAGCCUUGUUGCCAUGCCAUGUCUGAGUUAGCCUUGUUGCCAUGUCAUGUUUGAGUUAGCCUUGUUGCCAUGUCAUGUCUGAGUUUAGCCGUGUUACCAUGCCAUGUCUGAGUUAGUCUUGUUGCCAUGCCAUGUUUGAGUUAGCCGUGUUGCCAUGCCAUGUUUGAGUUAGCCGUGUUGCCAUGCCAUGUUUGAGUUAGCCGUGUUGCCAUGCCAUGUUUGAGUUAGCCUUGUUGCCAUGUCAUGUCUGAGUUUAGCCGUGUUACCAUGCCAUGUCUGAGUUAGUCUUGUUGCCAUGCCAUGUUUGAGUUAGCCGUGUUGCCAUGCCAUGCCUUAGUUAGCCCGGUUGCCGUGCCGUGUGUUCGAUUUACCAUGUUUUAGUUUCUCGCCAUAGUAGUGUGUUUUUGUUUCCUAGGCCUGUUAAAUUUGCCCUGUGUGUGUGUGGGGCUAGCCCCUGCCGUAUUGUUUUUUCUAAGGGAGUGUUUUGUGUUUCACGGGUUGGGGGUAUUGAACUUAAAAUAAACGGUUUAAAAUGUA